rnacentral:tRNA from 1 species
UCCCUGAUGACUCAGUUGGUAAAGAAUCUGUCUGCAAUGCAGGAGACUCAGGUUCAAUCCCUGGCUGGGGAA